rnacentral:rRNA from 1 species
GACGAACGCUGGCGGCGUGCUUAACACAUGCAAGUCGAACGGUGAACCUCUUCGUAGGGGGUCAGUGGCGAACGGGUGAGUAACACGUGGGCAACCUGCCCCCGGCUCUGGGAUAACUCCAAGAAAGUGGGGCUAAUACCGGAUGUUCACCGCUUCCCGCAUGGGUGGUGGUGGAAAGAGUUUCGGGCUGGGGAUGGUCCCGCGGCCUAUCAGCUUGUUGGUGGGGUAGUGGCCUACCAAGGCGACGACGGGUAGCCGGCCUGAGAGGGUGACCGGCCACACUGGGACUGAGACACGGCCCAGACUCCUACGGGAGGCAGCAGUGGGGAAUAUUGCGCAAUGGGCGGAAGCCUGACGCAGCGACGCCGCGUGGGGGAUGACGGCCUUCGGGUUGUAAACCUCUUUCAGCAGGGACGAAGCGCAAGUGACGGUACCUGCAGAGGAAGCACCGGCCAACUACGUG